rnacentral:tRNA from 1 species
GGGGUUGAGGCUCAGAGGUAGAGCGCAUGCCUAGCACGCAUGAGGCACUGGGUUUGAUCCUCAGCACCACA